rnacentral:rRNA from 1 species
AGAGUUUGAUCCUGGCUCAGGACGAACGCUGGCGGCGUGCUUAACACAUGCAAGUCGAGCGGUAAGGCCCUUUCGGGGGUACACGAGCGGCGAACGGGUGAGUAACACGUGAGCAAUCUGCCCUUCACUUGGGGAUAACCACCGGAAACGGUGGCUAAUACCGAAUAUGACCGCCUCCCGCAUGGGAUGGUGGUGGAAAGUUCCGGCGGUGGGGGAUGAGCUCGCGGCCUAUCAGCUUGUUGGUGGGGUAACGGCCUACCCAGCCAACGACGGGUUGGGGACCUGAGAGGGUGACCCCCCACACUGGGACUGAGACACGGCCCAGACGCCUACGGGAGGCAGCAGUGAGGAAUAUUGCACAAUGGGCGCAAGCCUGAUGCAGCGACGCCGCGUGAGUGAAGAAGGCCUUCGGGUCGUAAAGCUCUUUUCUGUGUGACGGGCAAGGACGGUAGCACAGGAAUAAGUGUCGGCUAACUACGUGCCAGCAGCCGCGGUAAUAC